GACUGGGGGGGUCCAUACAGGUGAGGGGCUGGGUUAGCGUGGAGCUACAGCUACAAGCUAACUUAUGGCUUGUAGCUGUUGCAUCAGGUUAGCAUGGCGCUACAGCUACAAGCUAACUUUAGGCUUGUAGCUGUAGCUUCAGGUUAGCAUGGCGCUACAGUUACAAGCUAACUUUAGGCUUGUAGCUGUAUUAUCAGGUUAGCAUGAUGCCAUCUUUUAGCUCAUGUUUGAUGUGUGGAACCUUGUCUGGCUUUGGGCCUUUAACUAAAAGUAUCUGAGGGACAGUCUUAGUUUUAUUAAAACAUGCUGCAGUCAGCUCUAACUGCCAUGAUUGACAGCUGUCAGUCUUUGUGGUGUUUAAUGACCCUGAUUUCAGUUUUCAUGUUUGAAUAAAUAAAGAACACAAUUAAUUAGCUUUGUAAUCAAAAGGGAAGUUUUAACAUUUGUUGCCUAAAGACAGUCACAUGUUGCUCAGUAAUAACUAUAUUAUAUGUUGGUAUGGUUUUUAUUAUGUCAUAUAUUUAUCUGACAGUCUGGUGUUUUAUUAAACAUGUAAAGUGUUA